rnacentral:rRNA from 1 species
AAUAGAUACCCGGUAGUCCACGCCGUAAACGAUGAGUGCUAAGUGUUAGGGGGUUUCCGCCCCUUAGUGCUGCAGCUAACGCAUUAAGCACUCCGCCUGGGGAGUACGGUCGCAAGACUGAAACUCAAAGGAAUUGACGGGGGCCCGCACAAGCGGUGGAGCAUGUGGUUUAAUUCGAAGCAACGCGAAGAACCUUACCAGGUCUUGACAUCCUCUGACAAUCCUAGAGAUAGGACGUCCCCUUCGGGGGCAGAGUGACAGGUGGUGCAUGGUUGUCGUCAGCUCGUGUCGUGAGAUGUUGGGUUAAGUCCCGCAACGAGCGCAACCCUUGAUCUUAGUUGCCAGCAUUCAGUUGGGCACUCUAAGGUGACUGCCGGUGACAAACCGGAGGAAGGUGGGGAUGACGUCAAAUCAUCAUGCCCCUUAUGACCUGGGCUACACACGUGCUACAAUGGACAGAACAAAGGGCAGCGAAACCGCGAGGUUAAGCCAAUCCCACAAAUCUGUUCUCAGUUCGGAUCGCAGU